rnacentral:rRNA from 1 species
ACGGGUGAGUAACGCGUGGGAAUCUACCCAUCUCUACGGAAUAACGCAUGGAAACGUGUGCUAAUACCGUAUACGUCCUUCGGGAGAAAGAUUUAUCGGAGAUGGAUGAGCCCGCGUUGGAUUAGCUAGUUGGUGGGGUAAAGGCCUACCAAGGCGACGAUCCAUAGCUGGUCUGAGAGGAUGAUCAGCCACACUGGGACUGAGACACGGCCCAGACUCCUACGGGAGGCAGCAGUGGGGAAUAUUGGACAAUGGGCGCAAGCCUGAUCCAGCCAUGCCGCGUGAGUGAUGAAGGCCCUAGGGUUGUAAAGCUCUUUCACCGGUGAAGAUAAUGACGGUAACCGGAGAAGAAGCCCCGGCUAACUUCGUGCCAGCAGCCGCGGUAAUACGAAGGGGGCUAGCGCUGUUCGGAUUUACUGGGCGUAAAGCGCACGUAGGCGGACUAUUAAGUCAGGGGUGAAAUCCCGGGGCUCAACCCCGGAACUGCCUUUGAUACUGGUAGUCUUGAGUUCGAGAGAGGUGAGUGGAAUUCCGAGUGUAGAGGUGAAAUUCGUAGA